rnacentral:rRNA from 1 species
AGGUGGCUUUUGGGCUGUCGCAGAUGGAUGAGCCUGCGUUGGAUUAGCUAGUUGGUGGGGUAAGGGCCUACCAAGGCUACGAUCCAUAGCUGAUUUGAGAGGAUGAUCAGCCACAUUGGGACUGAGACACGGCCCAAACUCCUACGGGAGGCAGCAGUGAGGAAUAUUGGACAAUGGGGGCAAACCCUGAUCCAGCAAUGCCAUGUGUGUGAAGAAGGCCUUAGGGUUGUAAAGCACUUUAGUUGGGGAAGAAAGCUUUGAGGUUAAUAGCCUUGAGGAAGGACGUUACCCAAAGAAUAAGCACCGGCUAACUCCGUGCCAGCAGCCGCGGUAAUACGGGGGGUGCAAGCGUUAAUCGGAAUUACUGGGCGUAAAGGGUCUGUAGGUGGUUUGUUAAGUCAGAUGUGAAAGCCCAGGGCUCAACCUUGGAACUGCAUUUGAUACUGGCAAACUAGAGUACGGUAGAGGAAUGGGGAAUUUCUGGUGUAGCGGUGAAAUGCGUAGAGAUCAGAAGGAACACCAAUGGCGAAGGCAACAUUCUGGACCGAUACUGACACUGAGGGACGAAAGCGUGGGGAUCAAACAGGAUUAGAUACCCUGGUAGUCCAUGCUGUAAACGAUGAGUACUAGCUGUUGGAGUCGGUGUAAAGGCUCUAGUGGCGCAGCUAACGCGAUAAGUACUCCGCCUGGGGACUACGGCCGCAAGGCUAAAACUCAAAGGAAUUGACGGGGACCCGCACAAGCGGUGGAGCAUGUGGUUUAAUUCGAUGCAACGCGAAGAACCUUACCUGGUCUUGACAUCCUGCGAGCUUUCUAGAGAUAGAUUGGUGCCUUCGGGAACGCAGUGACAGGUGCUGCACGGCUGUUGUCAGCUCGUGUUGUGAAAUGUUGGGUUAAGUCCCGCAACGAGCGCAACCCCUAUUGAUAGUUACCAUCAUUAAGUUGGGUACUCUAUUGAGACUGCCGCUGACAAGGCGGAGGAAGGUGGGGACGACGUCAAGUCAUCAUGGCCCUUACGACCAGGGCUACACACGUGCUACAAUGGGUAUUACAGAGGGCUGCGAAGGAGCGAUCUGGAGCGAAACUCAAAAAGGUACUCUUAGUCCGGAUUGCAGUCUGCAACUCGACUGCAUGAAGUCGGAAUCGCUAGUAAUCGCAGGUCAGAAUACUGCGGUGAAUACGUUCCCGGGUCUUGUACACACCGCCCGUCACACCAUGGGAGUGGGUUGCUCCAGAAGUAGAUAGCUUAACGAAUGGGCGUUUACCACGGAGUGAUUCAUGACUGGGGUGAAGUCGUAACAAGGUAGCCGUAGGGGAACCUGCGGCUGGAUCACCUCCUUA